rnacentral:rRNA from 1 species
ACGUACACUCCUGCGGGAGGCAGCAGUGGGGAAUAUUGGACAAUGGGCGCAAGCCUGAUCCAGCCAUGCCGCGUGAGUGAUGAAGGCCCUAGGGUUGUAAAGCUCUUUCACCGGUGAAGAUAAUGACGGUAACCGGAGAAGAAGCCCCGGCUAACUUCGUGCCAGCAGCCGCGGUAAUACGAAGGGGGCUAGCGUUGUUCGGAUUUACUGGGCGUAAAGCGCACGUAGGCGGACUAUUAAGUCAGGGGUGAAAUCCCGGGGCUCAACCCCGGAACUGCCUUUGAUACUGGUAGUCUUGAGUUCGAGAGAGGUGAGUGGAAUUCCGAGUGUAGAGGUGAAAUUCGUAGAUAUUCGGAGGAACACCAGUGGCGAAGGCGGCUCACUGGCUCGAUACUGACGCUGAGGUGCGAAAGCGUGGGGGGCAAACAGGAUUAGAAACCCCUGUAGUCCCAU